GCGCCGCUGGGCGUGGGGGCGUGCCGGGGCCGCGGCUGCCGCGCCCGCUGCCGCCAGCCCGCCGGCCCGCCGGAGCGCCCGGGGCCGCCGCAUCUCGGCCCGCCGCGGCCAGCAGGAAAGAGGAUGGCGGAGAGCGAGGCCGAGACUCCCAGCACUCCUGGGGAGUUCGAGAGCAAGUACUUCGAGUACAAUGGGGUGCGGCUGCCGCCCUUCUGCCGGGGGAAGAUGGAGGAGAUCGCUAAUUUCCCGGUGAGGGACAGCGACGUCUGGAUCGUCACGUAUCCCAAGUCAGGCACAGGCUUGCUACAGGAAGUGGUUUAUCUAGUGAGUCAGGGAGCUGAUCCAGAUGAGAUUGGACUAAUGAAUAUAGAUGAACAACUUCCAGUCCUAGAGUACCCUCAGCCUGGUCUGGACAUCAUCAAGGAACUGACAUCUCCUCGCCUCAUAAAAAGCCACCUACCAUACCGUUUUUUGCCUUCAGACCUCCAUAAUGGCAAUUCAAAGGUAAUAUACAUGGCUCGCAACCCCAAAGACCUGGUGGUGUCUUAUUACCAGUUUCACCGCUCCUUAAGGACCAUGAGCUACAGAGGAACAUUUCAGGAGUUCUGCAGAAGGUUUAUGAAUGACAAGUUAGGAUAUGGUUCGUGGUUUGAACAUGUCCAGGAGUUUUGGGAACAUCACAUGGAUGCCAAUGUACUUUUCCUCAAGUAUGAAGAUAUGCACAAGGACUUGGCAACAAUGGUUGAACAACUGGUGAGGUUCUUAGGAGUUUCUUAUGACAAAGCACAGCUGGAAUCUAUGGUGGAACACUGCCAUCAACUCAUUGAUCAGUGCUGUAAUGCAGAAGCAGUUCCUGUUGGCAGGGCACAUUGAUCUUUACUCUGAAGAUAACCCUGAGCUUCUGUGAAAGCAGAAAAAUGAUUAGAUAUAUUACUUAUAUUUGACUCAUAUCACAUCAUAGUUUACACAGUUGCAUGAUUCAAAUCAUAAACCAGGUCGAGUUGGGCUAUGGAAAGACAUCUUCACUGUUUCAAUGAAUGAGAAAUUUGAUUUAGUAUAUAAACAGAAGAUGGGAAAAUGUGACCUCACAUUUGAUUUUUAUUUAUAAAAAAAAAAAAAAAAGCAUGCAUAUGAUAUCCAGAUAUAGCUAGAAGUGCUUUAUGCAUUCAUUUAUUACCUGCUGGACAAACUACUGUAGCUAUUAUGUGUAACAAGAUUUAAAGAAAGAAACUCAAUCUAAGUAAACCAUCGCAGAUACAAUUAUCUUUGAUCCUAAACAGCUGUUUAUUUUCUGGUAUUUUAAUUCUUCAUCCAGACACAAGAACUUCCUAGACAAUACUAGAAUAUUCAGCUGUUAUGGAAUGUAUUAUAUCAGUAUAAGGUAUGUAUCAUAUAUGCAACUAGAAUGUACACCUUUUCAGCCCCACAUUGAUUAUUUAAUAUUUUAUAAAAACUUUUCACUAGAACCUAAAUAAGUGUCCAUAAACCAAAUAAAUUAUUUCAGAGGGAAUCAAGUAACAGGCCAAAACUGUAUGCUAGAAUGAUCUCAGGGGUUAAUCACCAUAUUUAUUUUUAUAGCUGGUAAAUCAAGUAUAAAUAAAUCCCAUUCCAAAAUAGUAGCUGAUCAAAGUGGGGCUCACACUAAGUUCUGCGCACCCAUAUCUGUGUAAUUUCUGAGUAGGUUCUUUGUACUGGCAUACUCUGCAAGACAGGCCUUGUUAUGAAAUACAGCUGUGACUGCCACUCUAAUCACAAAACCCACCCAUGUUUCAGAUGCAUGUCUUCCUGAUGGAUGAAGUUCAGCUCCAUACAUAAGGCCAGAAAACUAAAGCUUUUUAAGCCCCCAGCUCUUGCUCAGUUUCAGUCCCUCAAAACUGAGCUUAAAAGCAUAACAUCUGAUGUAGAGGUCUUUCUUCAGGAAGCAGUCUGACUAAUGUUGGUUUCCUGUUUGAAUCUGAAUUUCACCUGUUAGAUACAGGAAGAGAAGAUAAGGUGCUGGAUAUCCUCCAGUUCCACCAAAACUUAAAAGCACUCAGUACUAUUUUUUGUGCUACUGGACUCCAUCACACCUAACUUAAGACUGGUUGUGUGUGACACAGUAAGUAGGCAGAGGAAACAGCAGCACUGAAGGAAGAGAGUUUAAAAAUACACCACCAGGUGGGAGUACCGUAUGCAUGAUAGUUCAGUAACAGUAAGCUAUGACUUGUCUGGAUUAUAAUCGGAAAUCAAGUUUAUUACUUUAUCUUUUUUAUUUUCUAUGACAGGUAUACAAACAGCCUGAAGUAGGCUACUAUCACUAUAAAGCUCUCCAGGAUGAUUUUAUUCUGUUAGGUAACAACAUCAAUGCCUUUUAGGUUCUCAGCUGCAGGAGGCCCAUUUUUGAUAGUCAAAUACUAAGUCUCACUGAAAGCUGUGAGGAAGGACUAGCAGAUUUUUGGUGUUUCAGUUCUGUUGGGAAACAGUCAGUUCAGCUGGGAAGUGGUGUAGCAUGAUGUGGCUUGACAGCACUUUUCCUUGUAUAUUUGUGAGUGAAAAUGCUUUCUGUGAAAUUUUAUUUAUAUUUUUAUAUUUUUAGUACUGUAUGAAUAUUAAGCACUACACAUUAUACUUCUGUGCUUGCUUGCUUAUUGAAUAAAAGAUGUGUUCCAUG